ACCGUGCGAAGGUAGCAUAAUCAUUUGUUCUUUAAAUGGGGACUAGCAUGAAUGGCAUCACGAGGGUUAUACUGUCUCCUUACUCCAAUCAAUAAAACUAAUCUUCCCGUGAAGAAGCGGGAAUGCACAUAUAAGACGAGAAGACCCUAUGGAGCUUCAAACUACUUGCACUAGCUUACACAUUAAUACGUCCCCGGACGAUAAUACUAAAUUUAGCUUCAUGACUGCUAGUUUUAGGUUGGGGUGACCACGGAGAACAAAACAACCCCCGUAUUGAAAAGAAUAAUUUCCUGAGCAAAAAGCUACAACUUUAAGCACUAACAAAUUAACAUCAAUUGACCCAAUACUUUGAUCAACGAACCAAGUU
rnacentral:rRNA from 1 species